AGUGAACGCUGGCGGUAGGCCUAACACAUGCAAGUCGAACGGCAGCACAGUAAGAGCUUGCUAUUACGGGUGGCGAGUGGCGGACGGGUGGGGAAUACAUCGGAAUCUACUUUUUCGUGGGGGAGAACGUAGGGAAACUUACGCUAAUACCGCAUACGACCUGCGGGUGAAAGCAGGGGAUCUUCGGACCUUGCGCGAUUGAAUGAGCCGAUGUCGGAUUAGCUAGUUGGCGGGGUAAAGGCCCACCAAGGCGACGAUCCGUAGCUGGUCUGAGAGGAUGAUCAGCCACACUGGAACUGAGACACGGUCCAGACUCCUACGGGAGGCAGCAGUGGGGACUAUUGGACAAUGGGCGCAAGCCUGCUCCAGCCAUACCGGGUUGGUGAAGAAGGCCUUCGGGUUGUAAAGCCCUUUUGUUGGGAAAGACAAGCAGCAGGUUAAUACCCCGCUGUUCUGACGGUACCCAAAGAAUAAGCACCGGCUAACUUCGUG
rnacentral:rRNA from 1 species